rnacentral:lncRNA from 1 species
CCCUUCACCUCGCGAUCUUCAAUCUGGGGAUCUGCCUUCUUCGUUGCUCCUCAUCUCUGUGCACCUAGUUGUUGUUGCCAGCUCACUGACGCUGCGGGCCACACAGCAACCAAAGCAAUAAUGCUACACCUACUAAUUAUUACGUGAGUUUACGUGAUGACUCAGAUGGAAUCCAACGUGGCCACGAGAGCGCGCUGAGAAAAUGGAGAAGAAAAUUCUGCUCCCACGAAAAGUUAUUUGCGGAGGAAAAAAUCAAACCGCUGCGCAUCCCUUUCCCUCCCAGGCGAACGCCGACUCGCACAGAUCGGCCGGCCAAACGACGAGUUCCCCAGCGGCAGGCCGACGCAGUGAAUUCCCCAUCGAUGGAUGCGGUGGUCUCGUUCGAGGCGCCACGACGGGCUACUCUGAGGCGGCGAGGCGACAUCCUUCGCGUUGGAUGCGUCAUGGCUGGCUCCUCCGAUGCGGGGAGGCAGUCAGCAUCUUCACGGCCGGCUCCUCCUAGGUGGCGACGCAGCUUCCUCGUAUGGAUGCAUUCAGUGCCGGCGGCCUCAUGGUCGAGCCCUGUGAAUCCCAGCAUCGCGUACUGACUCGUCGUGUGGCGGGCGGCGGCCGACCGCGUUGUGUUCGAGCCAUGUGAAGCCCAGUACGGCGUACAUUGGGGCAACCUGGAUGAUCUCUGCCCCGGCCAAAAUUACUACAAUGUGGAAACUUGUAGGUUAGCAGUUGUACCUCCUCAUGUUCUGAAUUUGUGCAAGUUCUGAAUUUUGUGCAUUAUCUGAAUAUUGUUCAGUUUGCAGGGACGGGACUAGGAAGAGUUACACAAUCCA